rnacentral:rRNA from 1 species
AAUAGAUACCCGGGUAGUCCACGCCGUAAACGAUGAGUGCUAGGUGUUAGGGGGUCCAACCCUUAGGUGCCGGAAGUUAACACAUUAAGCACUCCGCCUGGGGAGUACGGUCGCAAGACUGAAACUCAAAGGAAUUGACGGGGGCCCGCACAAGCGGUGGAGCAUGUGGUUUAAUUCGAAGCAACGCGAAGAACCUUACCAGGGCUUGACAUCCCUCUGACCGUUCUAGAGAUAGAGCUUCCCUUCGGGGCAGAGGUGACAGGUGGUGCAUGGUUGUCGUCAGCUCGUGUCGUGAGAUGUUGGGUUAAGUCCCGCAACGAGCGCAACCCUUGUCCUUAGUUGCCAGCAUUCAGUUGGGCACUCUAGGGAGACUGCCGGUGACAAACCGGAGGAAGGUGGGGAUGACGUCAAAUCAUCAUGCCCCUUAUGUCCUGGGCUACACACGUGCUACAAUGGCUGGUACAAAGGGUAGCGAAGCAGUGAUGUGGAGCCAAUCCCAAAAAGCCAGUCACAGUUCGGAUUGUAGG